GACGAACGCUGGCGGCGUGCCUAAUACAUGCAAGUUGAGCGCUGAAGGCUGGUACUUGUACCAACUGGAUGAGCAGCGAACGGGUGAGUAACGCGUGGGGAAUCUGCCUUUGAGCGGGGGACAACAUUUGGAAACGAAUGCUAAUCCCGCAUAAAAACUUUAAACACAAGUUUUAAGGUUGAAAGAUGCAAUUGCAUCACUCAAAGAUGAUCCCGCGUUGUAUUAGCUAGUUGGUGAGGUAAAGGCUCACCAAGGCGAUGAUACAUAGCCGACCUGAGAGGGUGAUCGGCCACAUUGGGACGGAGACACGGCCCAAACUCCUACGGGAGGCAGCAGUAGGGAAUCGUCGGCCAUGGACGAAAGUCUGACCGAGCAACGCCGCGGGAGUGAAGAAGGUUUUCGGAUCGGAAAACUCUGUUGGUAGAGAAGAACGUUGGUGAGAGUGGAAAGCUCAUCAAGUGACGGUAACUACCCAGAAAGGGACGGCUAACUACGUG
rnacentral:rRNA from 1 species